UAAAUUCUAGCUUUUUUUUCCUUGCCUUUUGGGAACAGAAUUUCUGCUAGGGUAGCUUUGAACACCCAGGCCUCCUGCUUUAGCCUACUGAGUGCUCAGAUUAUGGGUGAACGCCACCACACCGUAGUCCAUGCUGGUUAUAUAGACCAGAGGUGCUGAACUUCCAGCUAGGAGGUAGCUCAGACAGUGCUUCUGAUGUAGGACCUGAAUCAGAGUCAACUCAAUUUUGAAAGACUCAUAUUUCAGGAUGGAGUUUUCUUCUGUAAGAAUUAAUUUUGAUUGGUGGGGAGCAGGAUGGUGGAAAGAAGUUGGAAAUGACAUAGAGCAUUUUGCCUUAGCAUGUAGACAUGAGACUGAAACAUACCCAUUAGGGAGGAACACGUCAGAACUGACAUCGAGGUAAUGGUUUGGGAGUACAGAGUCUGGUCUCGUUUGACUCUAAUCUACAUGCUUGCAUGACUGAAACUGAAACUAUACAAAAUUAGAAAAGAAAAAGCUUUACUUUCAUUCCCUGUAGACGGGGCAGAAUUAGCCAUUCACACCAAUGGUUGCCAUGGGUAGAUGGAGACCAUUCUCUAUAAGAGAACCAAGGAAUUUAAAGAAAGUGGGUGCUAUUUAGGUUGAAGUACAAGUCCACAGCCUGUUCCAGUCUGGUCCUGCAACGAGGGAGCCAAGAAGAUCACUUCUCUCUUCCUGGUACGUGUGAUAGAUUUUAACUACAUUAUGACUUUGAAUAACAAAUAAAUAUCUAACAAUAUCCCCAGAAACUUGUUUUGAAUAUUUGAAAAUUCCAGAAUCAGCACAUUAAAAACGAGUACCUACUUGUCUGGGGUAUGCAAUGUGCCGGGUCAGAGAAGAAACAAAAUAGUUUUAAGCUGUCUUCAACUUAUUUGUGAACUAAAAGGAGAAGCCCCAUCCUUAUGAUCAUGCUUGUUUUUCUUCCUAUGUCCCGGAAUGUUUGUCUCUAACCAAAUACGACUGACUAGGUUUGUCCAGAGGCCAUCAAAGGGUUAGAGGUAAGAAGGAAGUGUGGAAAGUUGACAAGGAAUCACCAAAAGAAGACCCAAAAGAGAAAGUCCCAUUAAGCUUGAUGACAAACACAGUCUAAAGCCAUAUCCAUGAGUGCCAGGUUUUUCAAACUGAAGUAACCAACGACAUCAAAACUGUGGACAAAGCUUCUUUGUGAAGAGGUGAAGAAGAUUUGGUGUUCGUUAAGAAGCAAACGAGCAGGGGUUGGGGAUUUAGCUCAGUGGUAGAGCACUUGCCUAGCAAGCUCAAGGCCCUGGGUUUGGUCCCCAGCUCCGAAAAAAAGAAAAAAAAAAAAGAAAAAAAGAAAAAAAGAAGAAGCAAAUGAGCUAACCUGUUCUCUGUGCUCCAAAAGGACAACACAGCUCUAUUUUGGCGAGUUAGAUCUAGUUUCCUUUGAAGAGCUCUGGGUGAGCAUUUGCUGCAUACCACGUGACUGGACGCUAUUGACUUAGUGGGAUACCUUGAGAUGAAAAAUCACAACAGAAAUGCUUCUUGAUUAAUGAAAUAUUCUCAUUCAAAUCCAAGAUCUCGGUUAUCUCAGUCUUGGCUAGAGAAGCAGUCAACACAGAGGCUCAUAACUGGGCUAUGUGCCGUGGAACAGCUUCUUGUUCAGACACUUUCUAAGGGCAAAAAAGGGCAAGUAGAAAACGACGGUGGAAAAAGCAUUUGGAGCAGCCUGCAGUGCCCAGAAUGGAGCUGUUGGCAAAUCGCAGUCCACACCCCCACUUUUCAAUCUUUUCGCUAAUUUCUUACUACUUCACUUGAGAGAGUCCCAGAAGAACGGUGUGAUGAUUCAUCAGCCCUACUUCCUCAUUUCUGCUGACAGAGAGCUAACUUUGUCUCCAUUUCCAUGGUCGUCCCAAAAGAGCAAAAACAAAACAACUUUAAAAAAAUUUUAAUUUGCUACGUUUGGUGCGAAGUGACUUCCUGUGAGCUGGAGAGGCCAAAGGCUGGAGAGACCCCACUGUAGCCCAUUCUAUGACUGAGAGAUCCGAGACCCCAAGAGCCUACAAGAUUUCCUGUUUCUACACAACCGCUCAGUAGCAUACAGAUUUGGGCAGGGAUCUGCUAGUUUUAGGCUGUGAUUUUCUGUAACUUUGUGGAUGAUAAAUAGAUCGAAGCUUAUCUGUGCUAUGUCACAAGGAAACACAUAACCAUAAAACUUUCUGGUGAGAGCA
rnacentral:sRNA from 1 species